rnacentral:tRNA from 1 species
GUCUCAGUAGUGUAGUGAUUAGUGCACAGCCCCGGAAAGGUUGAGAAGCCGGUUCGAAUCCUGCCUGAGAUG